rnacentral:rRNA from 1 species
GGGGCCAUUAGCAUGCAGUCGAACGAACUUAAUACCUUGCUUGCAAGGUAAGCGGUUAGUGGCGGACUGGUGAGUAACACGUAAGGAACCUGCCUAUUAGAGAGGAAUACCAGUGAGAAAUCACUGCUAAUACCUCAUAUGCCUUAGUUAUCGCAUGAUAAUAGAGGGAAAGGAGCAAUCCACUAAUAGAUGGCCUUGCGCCUGGUUAACUAGUUGGUGAGAUAAAAGCCCACCAAGGUAACGAUCAGUAGCCGAACUGAGAGGUUGAACGGCCACAUUGGGACUGAGAUACGGCCCAGACUCCUACGGGAGGCAGCAGUCGGGAAUAUUGCGCAAUGGAGGAAACUCUGACGCAGUGACGCCGCGUAUAGGAAGAAGGUUUUCGGAUUGUAAACUAUUGUCGAUAGGGAAGAAAAAAGACUGUACCUAUCAAGAAAGCUCCGGCUAACUACGUGCCAGCAGCCGCGGUAAUACGUAGGGAGCAAGCGUUAUCCGGAAUUAUUGGGUGUAAAGGGUGCGUAGACGGGAUGUCAAGUUAGUUGUGAAAUACCUCGGCUCAACUGAGGAACUGCAACUAAAACUAACUUUCUUGAGUGCAGGAGAGGAAGGUGGAAUUCCUAGUGUAGCGGUGAAAUGCGUAGAUAUUAGGAAGAACAUCGGUAGCGAAGGCGACUUUCUGGACUGUAACUGACGUUGAGGCACGAAAGUGUGGGGAGCAAACAGGAUUAGAUACCCUGGUAGUCCACACUG